AGUUGUAACCUAGAGAAGUGUAACCUGUGCUGGACCGUGUACAAGUCUCCUGGAAUGGAGCAUCAUAGAGGGUGAGAAUCCCGUCUUUGACAUGGACUACCAGUGCACUGUGGUUGCACACUCAACGAGUCGAGUUGUUUGGGAAUGCAGCUCUAAAUGGGUGGUAAAUUCCAUCUAAAGCUAAAUAUUGGCGAGAGACCGAUAGCGAACAAGUACCGUGAGGGAAAGAUGAAAAGAACUUUGGAAAGAGAGUUAAACAGUAUGUGAAAUUGUUGAAAGGGAAACGCUUGAAGUCAGCUGCAUUAGCUGGGGAUCAAGCCAGCUUUUUUGCUGGGUGUACUUCCUGGUUGAUGGGCCAACAUCAGUUUUGACCAUCAGAGAAAGGCUAAGGGAAUGUGGCACCUUUAUAGGUGUGUUAUAGCCCUUGGUUGUAUGUGAUGGUUGGGACUGAGGACAGCAGCGUGCCGCA
rnacentral:rRNA from 1 species